UUGUCAGGUAGGAUAAUCCUUACAUGUUCCUCCUUCUGGAGGGCAGGCUGGAACACGGUGGUUGGAGUUAGCGUGACUAUUGAUUAGUGUCUCUGCAGAGUCAGGACUUGCAGCACCCUGAUUGCAAAAAACAAAC